rnacentral:lncRNA from 1 species
UAUGGCAACUCUGUUUAUUAAAAAUUAUUUUCGAGGGGUUACGUUAUGGGAGAACUUUCUACGCGAACUGAACUCUAUUUAGGUGUUAGACACGAAAAAAUAUCUGAAAAUCUCCACGUCCGGCGCAGACUCGCGGGCACGUACUAAGAAGGCAUAUUUUCAAGCCCGUGCUGGGUUUGGCCUGGCCCACAACGUGGGCGGCUAGACGAUAAGGGACGAGGUUCGACAUAUUCAAGACUUGCCGCCUCCAAAAGAUUUCUGAGGUUUUUCAAACGCCCAAAUUCGAUUUCGUGUUCUUCGGAGCAAUAAAUUUCGAGCAUUGCAUUUAAUUACAGCGCUUGAAAUCAUCAUGAGCAUGCGCAUUUUUCCGGCGCCAUCUUUGUGGUUUCUUUACGUUUUAUUUGUGUUUACGCGUACUUUUGCUGUGUUGUUUAUUCGUUGCGAAAAUCGCUAUGGCGAAUAGUUGUAUAAUUGGGUGUAAUGCUAGUUCACUCAAGAACAAAAGAAUAUAAUUUUUUAAUUUCCGACAUUAUUUGUCAUCAAAGCCCCCAAACUGAGGAGCUUCCACGGCGAAGGCAAUCUGUGAACGACAAUACACGAGUUUGUCAAAAACAUUUCAUUUCAGGUAAAAAAGGCAACCAUCACCAGACUGGGUACCAACAUUAUACGUGGGGUAUGAGAAUGGCCAAAACCCAACUGCAUAUCAGGCCACGACUCUUGAUCUACAGCGAAGAUGCUGGCUUCGUAUGGAUUGACACCGUGACAUAAUGAAACUUUUUCUUCAUAUAAAACAGCAUUACGUCCUGUCAGACUGCGGGAAUAGCCCGCCAGAAAAGCAUCUUUUUUAACUUUACUUAUGAUAUAAAAAUACUGUAGUUCUAUUAAAUUUAAAUAGAAAAAAACGCUGCCAACCUGUGAUGCGGAAGCUAGACCACAAACAUGGCGAAUGGGCGUGAGCAUACGUGCGUUUUAUCACGUGUCAUGCGACCUUGAAACCUUUCUAUAAAUUGUGAUGUUAUUGUAAGACCAAGAAGCUCUCGUAGACUAUUGAAAGAAUUUGUCAAGACAUUUGAAACACGUCGAACAUUUCCGCUAGCAAAAAAUAUUCGCACCAUUCAGGAGUAUGGAUUUCUUGACGUAAGAGAAAGAAGUUUCAAAAAUGGCGGCGGUAAAGUUCGCGUGUGCUAUGAUAUUGAAGCAUUUCUUAUGGAGAUGAACUAAACCCCUCUGUUAUUUGACAAAAGGACGUUCGUUUAAAGAAAAAUCAAAGGAAAUUGAUCGCCGAAAGCUGUAAGUUCUUUUAAUUUUUAUUUUACACAUACCAUAUUAGAAUCCAUAACGGAUACACGGUUUUUAAAAAAGGCCCUCUUAGCGCCUAUAAAUCAGAAAUAACUUUUAAAAAUAAGUCUGGAAUAUUAUAUUUAAAUCACACUACGAAGGCAUAUUUCUAUUGUCGUAGUCAAUUAUUAUGCAUAGCGUGUGGAUCCUUUCAUUGAAGUCACUCAAUGUGUUUUAAUGUUUCUGUUAAUUAAAAUUUAACACAUUUAAACACAGGGAAACUUUAUGAUUGUAAUGAUGUAAAUUAUUUGCCCGUCAGCAUUGUUAGUUGACAUUGUUAUUCAUAUUCUAAUAAAUGCACGCUGACAGUUAUACAUUCUAAUUAGUUAAUAACACGACAACCCACAUACACCAGCAAUCGAUUUAUUAUAUUCCGUGAAUCGAUCACUUCAUACACUCCAUUAAAUUUCCCUUAUAUUUUACGAUAGAACGAUUCAAAUUAUGUACAGUACCAAAAUAAUUACAGUAAUUAUAAUUAAAAUGUUUGUCUGAAUCAAUAAGAGAUGGCGCCACUAUGAUUACGUUAUUGUGUUUCACGUGUGUUAAGUAUAACCUUUGAUUUGUUAGAAAGUUUAAACCUUUAUUAAUACAUUUUUAUGCGGUAAAUUAUUCUCAGUUGAAUUACUUUUCGGGCCCCAUCCCCCCUUUGUGGGGCCUGACCGAAUUUACAAUGGAUACGGAUGAAAGGCCUUAUUAGUACCCACGGGCGGAGAGCAAAAAAUUAAUACAUGAAACAUGCGUAUUCAAACCCGUUAUGAGUUAUUCCCAAUCUUAGAGCCAUGAAAAAUAUAGGGUGGACCAAAAGUCGGUUAACCAUGGUUAGAUUGAUGCCCUAUUCAAAUCGUGUGUUAUACGAGAUAAUACACGCAACAUACGGUUAACUGACUUUUGGGUCACUUCUAUGUACGAAUAAAGUCAACAGAAAAGGUUUUUUUUUAAAUAUAUAUUAAAAGGCGCCCCCGUGGCAGGCGACAGAGCUAAACGUUUCUGUUUUUACCCCCUCUUUAUAAUAAUUUUCUCACAAAUAAUUAUU